rnacentral:rRNA from 1 species
CAGCAGCCACGGUAAUACGGAGGGGGCUAGCGUUGUUCGGAAUUACUGGGCGUAAAGCGCACGUAGGCGGCUUGGUAAGUUAGAGGUGAAAGCCUGGAGCUCAACUCCAGAAUUGCCUUUAAGACUGCCGAGCUAGCAGGUGAGAGAGGUAAGUGGAAUUCCGAGUGUAGAGGUGAAAUUCGUAGAUAUUCGGAAGAACACCAGUGGCGAAGGCGGCUUACUGGCUCAUACUGGACGCUGAGGUGCGAAAGCGUGGGGAGCAAACAGGAUUAGAUACCCGGGUAGUCCCUGUCUCUUAUAC